AGGAGGAACAACCGCAGUGGCAGGGCCAGGUCUGGAGCCGUGGAGUCAGCCCCCGCAGUCACCACAGAGCUCUCCGUCUGCAGGGCCUGGAUGCUGGCGGGGAGGG
rnacentral:pre_miRNA from 1 species